GCCUAUUUCAUAAUUGGAAUGGGCUGGAACUUCUGCAAUGGUGCCCAUGGUCCAGAAUUGAUUCCAAACUAUGAGUUUUGGAAUGAGUUGCCCAAACUAAUUAUUGAAGGUGUUGCUUUUACCUUUUCUUGUUGUGGUCAGAGAACUGCUUACGGUGAAGUUUAAUGAAGCAAAAUACUUACCUCAUCUACUCAAGGUGAACUUACCACAAUUUUGUAACAUUCCAUUGAUUAAAUGCCAACUUAUUUUUUUA